ACAACAGGAAAGUUUGAAAAGGUUUUAUCUUGUUGACUCCUUUGCAAUGACUGCUCUGUGGCAUGGAUCAUGCCGUGGAUUAAAGAAGGUUGACCCAAUGGCCUACGAUGUCCUCUUAGGCCCUGUGUGUGACAACAGACAUUGGACACUUGUGGUCCUUUAUCCAAAGGAGAGGCGUGCAGUUUACAUAGACCCUCUAGGAGAAACACCUGACCACAUAAUCAAAUGCAGGGAUGUAACACGGAAGGGUUAACAUGCUGACACAACAGGCCAUGUGUUGGAACAGACAGAAGAGGGACAACCUUCAUCAAGCCUUAACCCGCAGAUACAUCAAAGUCACAGAGAGGGCAAAGGAGGAAGCUGCCAGCCUCUGCAGCAUCCAGAAUGAGCACAAGCUGGAUGAGGAGACCACACAACAGUUCCAGACCCAACUCAGUCAAGGCAUGAUGGCUGUCUAACAUGAGUCUGGUCCUGC